CAUCGGAUACAAAGAUAGCCGAGAUGCAGUCGAUAAAUUAUAUCCAAACUUGGACUUAAGCAGCAUCGUUCUUCCUAUUUUAGAAGAAGAAGCUGCUGAAGAGGGUACUGUGCCGGUCGAAGAUGACGUACCGAUUAUAUCAGGAUCUGCUCCAACCACCGAAGCUGCAUCGAUGCAGGGAGAUAAAGAAAAUGACUGA
rnacentral:lncRNA from 1 species